UACGUAGGGUGCAAGCGUUGUCCGGAAUUAUUGGGCGUAAAGAGCUUGUAGGCGGUCUGUCGCGUCUGCUGUGAAAAUCCGGGGCUCAACCCCGGGCCUGCAGCCGAUACGGGCAAGCUAGAAUUCGGUAGGGGAGACUGGAAUUCCUGGUGUAGCGGUGAAAUGCGCAGAUAUCAGGAGGAACACCGGUGGCGAAGGCGGGUCUCUGGGCCGAUAUUGACGCUGAGGAGCGAAAGCGUGGGGAGCGAACAGG
rnacentral:rRNA from 1 species